AUUGAACGCUGGUGGCAUGCUUAACACAUGCAAGUCGAACGAGAAAGCCGCUUCGGUGGUGAGUACAGUGGCGGACGGGUGAGUAACGCGUGGGAAUCUGCCUCGUAGUGGGGGACAACCCGGGGAAACUCGGGCUAAUACCGCAUACGUCCCGAGGGAGAAAGAGGGCCUCUGCUUGCAAGCUCUCGCUAUGAGAUGAGCCCGCGUCCGAUUAGCUUGUUGGUAGGGUAAAGGCCUACCAAGGCGACGAUCGGUAGCUGGUCUGAGAGGAUGAUCAGCCACACUGGGACUGAGACACGGCCCAG
rnacentral:rRNA from 1 species